rnacentral:rRNA from 1 species
GGAUUCCCCUAGUAACUGCGAGUGAAGCGGGAAGAGCUCAAAUUUAAAAUCUGGCGUGCCUCUGGUCGUCCGAGUUGUAGUCUGGAGAAGCGUUUUCCGUGUUGGACCGUGUAUAAGUCUCUUGGAACAGGGCGUCAUAGAGGGUGAGAAUCCCGUCUUUGACACGGACUACCAAUGCUUUGUGAUGCGCUCUCAAAGAGUCGAGUUGUUUGGGAAUGCAGCUCAAAAUGGGUGGUAAAUUCCAUUAAAGCUAA